GAUGAACGCUGGCGGCGUGCCUAAUACAUGCAGGUCGAGCGAACAGACGAGGAGCUUGCUCCUCUGACGUUAGCGGCGGACGGGUGAGUAACACGUGGAUAACCUACCUAUAAGACUGGGAUAACUUCGGGAAACCGGAGCUAAUACCGGAUAAUAUAUUGAACCGCAUGGUUCAAUAGUGAAAGACGGUUUUGCUGUCACUUAUAGAUGGAUCCGCGCCGCAUUAGCUAGUUGGUAAGGUAACGGCUUACCAAGGCGACGAUGCGUAGCCGACCUGAGAGGAUGAACAGACACAAUGGAACGGAGAAAGGGGCCAGAGGACUACGGGAGGAAGCAGUGGGGAAGAUUGGACAAUGGGGGCAAGCCUGAUGAAGAGAUAAAGCGGGGGUGAAGAAGGAAUUCGGGUUGUAAAGAACGAUUGUUGGGAAAGAAAAGAAGAAGGGUAAGACCCAGCUGAGCUGACGGGACCAAAAGAAGAAGCACCGGCUAACGGAGUG
rnacentral:rRNA from 1 species